rnacentral:piRNA from 1 species
UUCGUGCAAUUCGAACAAAUC